GUACGGGCCAUGAGAGUGGUAGCCCGGAGAUGGACACUGAGAUAGGGGUCCAGGCCCUACGGGGCGCAGCAGGCGCGAAAACUCCACACUGUACGCAAGUACGAUGGGGUUACCUCGAGUGUAGUCUGUAAAAGAUUGCUUUUCCAUAGAGUAAUAUCCUGUGGGAAUAAGAGGGGGGCAAGACUGGUGUCAGCCGCCGCGGUAACACCAGCCCCUCGAGUGGUAGGGACUUUUAUUUGGCCUAAAGCGUUCGUAGCCGUCUGUAACCGUUGCCCGUUAAAUCCAGCGUCUCAAGCGUUGGACUGCGGGCGAUACCUUACAGAUUGAGGGUGGGAUAGGUAAGCGGUAUUUCUGGGGUAGGGGCGAAAUCCUUUGAUCCCAGGAGGACCACCAGUGGCGAAGGCUGCUUACUAGAACACGCCUGACGGUCAGGAACGAAAGCUGGGGUAGCGAACCGGAUUAGAUACCCGGGUAGUCCCAGCUGUAAACGAUGCGCGCUAGGUGUUGGGUCGGCCAUGCGCCGCCCCAGUGCCGCAGGGAAGCCGUUAAGCGCGCCGCCUGGGGAGUACGGCCGCAAGGCUGAAACUUAAAGGAAUUGGCGGGGGAGCAC
rnacentral:rRNA from 1 species